UUCUCCUUGUCUCCAGGUGUCCUGUCCGAGGUGCAGCUGCAGGAGUCAGGCCCAGGACUGGUGAAGCCCUCGCAGACCCUCUCCUUCACCUGCACCGUCUCUGGUGACUCCAUCACAACCAGCGGUUAUGGUUGGAACUGGAUCCGCCAGCCCUCAGGGAAGGGGCUUGAGUGGAUGGGAUACAUUACUUCCGGUGGCAGCACAAGUUAUAAUCCGUCCCUCAAGAGCCGCACCUCCAUCACCAGAGACACGUCCAAGAACCAGUUCUCCCUGCAGCUGAGCUCUGUGAACACUGAGGACACAGGCGUGUAUUUCUGUGCGAGAGACACAGUGACAGGAAGUCAGC